UCACCUGGUCACCCCGUUAAUAAGGACCCUGCUCUUCCUCAAACUGUGACAUCACCUGGUCACCCCGUUAAUAAGGACCCUGCUCUUCCUCAAACUGUGACAUCACCUGGUCACCCCGUUAAUAAGGACCCUGCUCUUCCUCAAACUGUGACAUCACCUGGUCACCCCGUUAAUAAGGACCCUGCUCUUCCUCAAACUGUGACAUCACCUGGUCACCCCGUUAAUAAGGACCCUGCUCUUCCUCAAACUGUGACAUCACCUGGUCACCCCGUUAAUAAGGACCCUGCUCUUCCUCAAACUGUGACAUCACCUGGUCACCCCGUUAAUAAGGACCCUGCUCUUCCUCAAACUGUGACAUCACCUGGUCACUCUGCCAUCUUGCUUUUCUCUUAAUGGAAAUAUCAUUAAAACCAAGUCUCACACAAACACACAGAGACAGACAGACAGACAGACAGACACAGAGAGAAAUAUUUUUCUUUUUGCACAGUUGGGAUUCAGGGCAUUUAUCAUCUCUGACCUAGAUUUUGACUGGCCAAUUUAGCUUCUGAAACUUCCAUUUCUCUGGGGCAAAUGUGUUCUCCACAGCACGACUGCUUCUUUGUUCAAAGGCUUGCUACUCAUUUUUCAAAGCUCCUUAGAUGAGUCUUAAUGCUUCGGGAGCAGUGUUUACGCCUCAUGCUCCCGUGCAGGCCUGACCUCAAAUCCCCCCCCCACAACCUACUCCUUCCAGUGUGGACACAGUCGGGAGUGAUUUCCUGUUCUCUCUUUCCAUCAUGUGAUGUGUUCCCUGAGAGAGUAUGGAAAAAAAGUUCCCGAUUUCUACCACCUAAAGAGUGCUGUAAGGUGUCCCCUGCUUCUGUCCCCGCCACCACUGCCUUAUUUCAUUCUUAACUGUGGCCUGGACUGUUUCAAUGGCCGCUGCCCUACCAUCUGUGCCUGGCUUCUAAUUCUUGGACGACACAAGAGACUAAGGCAGUGAAAGUACGAACGUGCUGAAAACCUGUCGCUGGGUUCCUUGGCAGGGAUCCUAAUUCUGUCACUAGCGAAGCCUGGGCAUUGCCACGCCUCAUGUACAAGGCUCAUCACCUGACACUCUUCACCUGGAAACCAAGGGUCUGCGUGUUGACAUCAAGGCUUCCUAAGAGACUGUCCCUCUCAUUCAACCACGGUUCUGCAAACGCCCACUUCAGCCUGACCAACGUACCCAACUUUGCCUAGUUAACCAGUUUUCUGAGACCUUUCCAGUCAGUGACCAUCGGCUCAUCGAUGUUACCAUAGUAACCAGGAUGUCCCUCCAUUCGCACUAUGUAGUAAGGAAGCUGUUGAUGGACACUGCUGGCGCUGACCUUUCCCAGACAGAGCAAUCUCCCAUCCUGAUGUCGAAGCCUUUCUCUGGCAUCUGCCAGAUUCUUCUCCAGCGCCGACCUUGCGAGGCUUGGUAAGAACCUAAGAAGAGAGAUGGAGUCUGGUGGUUAACCUAGUGCUUUCUUUGGUUCUUAAGUAUCUGUUAACAUGCACACUUUACUAAUUACAACCAACUGAGGAGAAACUGUGUUUAUGAAACAUAAAGCAUAUGUAAUUUUAGCAUAAGUAUAAAUUCAAGGUAUGUGGAAAGUCCUUGUUUGUGUAAUCUUUAAUCACUAAGCUUAUUUGUUAUUAGCAAUAUUCCAUC